rnacentral:lncRNA from 1 species
ACCUCUCGAUCUGUCAUUUCUCCACACCACCACCACUCCCACAUCAUUUCCAUUACUUCUCAUUAGAGAAAAAGAAGAGCACCACGACAAAAUUAUAAAAUCAGUAUCAGCGGUUUCCUAUAUCUCUCGAUAUGUCACUUUUUCGCACCAUCAUCACAUCCACAGCACUUCCGCUAUUUCUCAUUAGAGAAAAAAAAGAGCACCAC